rnacentral:rRNA from 1 species
AGUGAACGCUGGCGGUAGGCCUAACACAUGCAAGUCGAACGGCAGCACAGUAAGAGCUUGCUCGUACGGGUGGCGAGUGGCGGACGGGUGAGGAAUAAAUCGGAAUCUACUUUUUCGUGGGGGAUAGCGUAGGGAAACUUACGCUAAUACCGCAUACGACCUACGGGUGAAAGCAGGGGAUCUUCGGACCUUGCGCGAUUGAAUGAGCCGAUGUCGGAUUAGCUAGUUGGCGGGGUAAAGGCCCACCAAGGCGACGAUCCGUAGCUGGUCUGAGAGGAUGAUCAGCCACACUGGAACUGAGACACGGUCCAGACUCCUACGGGAGGCAGCAGUGGGGAAUAUUGGACAAUGGGCGCAAGCCUGAUCCAGCCAUGCCGCGUGUGUGAAGAAGGCCUUCGGGUUGUAAAGCCCUUUUGUUGGGAAAGAAAAGCAGCAGGUUAAUACCCCGCUGUUCUGACGGUACCCAAAGAAUAAGCACCGGCUAACUUCGUG